GAUGAACGCUAGCGACAGGCCUAACACAUGCAAGUCGAGGGGCAGCACGAAGUAAGCUUGCUUACUUUGGUGGCGACCGGCGCACGGGUGCGUAACAGGUGUGCAAUCUGUCCAUAAUCGGGGAAUAGCCCAGCGAAAGUUGGAUUAAUGCUCCAUGUGAGUUUUAGAGGCAUCUCUUUAAUUUGAAACGUAAGGAUUAUGGGUGAGCACGCUUCUGAUUAGGUAGUUGGUGAGGUAACGGCUCACCAAGCCGACGAUCAGUAGGGGUUCUGAGAGGAAGGUCCCCCACAUUGGAACUGAGACACGGUCCAAACUCCUACGGGAGGCAGCAGUGAGGAAUAUUGGUCAAUGGGCGAAAGCCUGAACCAGCCAAGUCGCGUGAAGGAUGAAGGUUCUAUGGAUUGUAAACUUCUUUUGUCUGAGGGUAAAAAAGCGGACGUGUCCGUUCUUGCAAGUAUCAGACGAAUAAGCAUCGGCUAACUCCGUGCCAGCAGCC
rnacentral:rRNA from 1 species